rnacentral:rRNA from 1 species
GAUGAACGCUGGCGGCGUGCCUAACACAUGCAAGUCGAGCGAACAGACGAGGAGUUUGCUCCUCUGACGUUAGCGGCGGACGGGUGAGUAACACGUGGAUAACCUACCUAUAAGACUGGGAUCACUUCGGGAAACCGGAGCUAAUACCGGAUAAUAUAUUGAACCGCAUGGUUCAUUAGUGAAAGACGGUUUUGCUGUCCCUUAUAGAUGGUUCCGCGCCGCAUUAGCUAGUUGGUAAGGUAACGGCUUACCAAGGCAACGAUGCGUAGCCGACCUGAGAGGGUGAUCGGCCACACUGGAACUGAGACACGGUCCAGACUCCUACGGGAGGCAGCAGUAGGGAAUCUUCCGCAAUGGGCGAAAGCCUGACGGAGCAACGCCGCGUGAGUGAUGAAGGUCUUCGGAUCGUAAAACUCUGUUAGUAGGGAAGAACAAAUGUGUAAGUAACUAUGCACGUCUUGACGGUACCUAAUCAGAAAGCCACGGCUAACUACGUG